rnacentral:rRNA from 1 species
GACGAACGCUGGCGGCGUGCUUAACACAUGCAAGUCGAACGGAAAGGCCUCUUUCGGGGGGUACUCGAGUGGCGAACGGGUGAGUAACACGUGAGUAACCUGCCCUUGACUUUGGGAUAACUUCAGGAAACUGGGGCUAAUACCGGAUAGGAGCUCCUGCUGCAUGGUGGGGGUUGGAAAGUUACGGCGGUUGGGGAUGGACUCGCGGCUUAUCAGCUUGUUGGUGGGGUAGUGGCUUACCAAGGCUUUGACGGGUAGCCGGCCUGAGAGGGUGACCGGCCACAUUGGGACUGAGAUACGGCCCAGACUCCUACGGGAGGCAGCAGUGGGGAAUAUUGCACAAUGGGUGGAAGCCUGAUGCAGCAACGCCGUGUGCGGGAUGACGGCCUUCGGGUUGUAAACCGCUUUCGCUCAUGACGAAGCUUUGUGUGACGGUAGUGGGUAAAGAAGCACCGGCUAACUACGUG